rnacentral:rRNA from 1 species
GACGAACGCUGGCGGCGUGCUUAACACAUGCAAGUCGAACGGAAAGGCCCUGCUUUUGUGGGGUGCUCGAGUGGCGAACGGGUGAGUAACACGUGAGUAACCUGCCCUUGACUUUGGGAUAACUUCAGGAAACUGGGGCUAAUACCGGAUAGGAGCUCCUGCUGCAUGGUGGGGGUUGGAAAGUUUCGGCGGUUGGGGAUGGACUCGCGGCUUAUCAGCUUGUUGGUGGGGUAGUGGCUUACCAAGGCUUUGACGGGUAGCCGGCCUGAGAGGGUGACCGGCCACAUUGGGACUGAGAUACGGCCCAGACUCCUACGGGAGGCAGCAGUGGGGAAUAUUGCACAAUGGGCGGAAGCCUGAUGCAGUAACGCCGCGUGCGGGAUGACGGCCUUCGGGUGGUAAACCGCUUUCGCCUGUGACGAAGCGUGAGUGACGGUAAUGGGGAAAGAAGCACCGGCUAACUACGU